GACGAACGCUGGCGGCGUGCUUAACACAUGCAAGUCGAACGGAAAGGCCCUGCUUUUGUGGGGUGCUCGAGUGGCGAACGGGUGAGUAACACGUGAGUAACCUGCCCUUGACUUUGGGAUAACUUCAGGAAGCUGGGGCUAAUACCGGAUAGGAGCUCCUGCUGCAUGGUGGGGGUUGGAAAGUUUCGGCGGUUGGGGAUGGACUCGCGGCUUAUCAGCUUGUUGGUGGGGUAGUGGCUUACCAAGGCUUUGACGGGUAGCCGGCCUGAGAGGGUGACCGGCCACAUUGGGACUGAGAUACGACCCAGACUCCUACGGGAGGCAGCAGUGGGGAAUAUUGCACAAUGGGCGGAAGCCUGAUGCAGCAACGCCGCGUGCGGGAUGACGGCCUUCGGGUUGUAAACCGCUUUCGCCUGUGACGAAGCGUGAGUGACGGUAAUGGGUAAAGAAGCACCGGCUAACUACGUG
rnacentral:rRNA from 1 species